UGAAACUAGUGAUGAAACAGAUAAGCUGCCACUAAAAUUAUAAAAUGUGUGAAACUGAUGAUAGCAAUUUUUUUAAAGAGACAGAAGUUUAAAAGCAUGUUUCUUCAAAGGAGUCUGUGCUUAUUCCUCUUUUUUGCAUCUAAAGGCAUCAAUGGAAAAGAUGAAGACUCAGUAACUCAGUUCCCUUCAUCAGUGAGAAGCAGAGAAGGAGAUGUGAGCCUACUGCAUUGUAACUUCACACAUUCUUCAGCUUACCAGAAUGUGUUCCUUCAGUGGUACCACAAGGAAGAAGGGAAAAUAAAAUACAUUCUUCAAACAUCAACGCUGGAUGGGAUGAAUAAAGAAGUAACUGCUGAUGGUCACUUCUAUGCUUUUGUGGACACAAAACUAAAAACAACCUAUUUAAGAAUACAUGCAAUAAGAUUAACUGACUCUGCAUUCUACUACUGUGCUCUGAGCCCCACAACAGAAAAUAUGCUUCUGCAGAGCAAUCAAAAACCAUCUCAAGCACAAUAACAACAUCUGUGUACCAAGGUGUCAUCAGCUAUUAAACAUCU